GCAGGCCAACGCCUUUAGAGAGGGAGCAGCAUGAGGAGAAAAUGAAGCUGAACUUGGUGUCACUCCUAAGUCCAAGAGGGAAACUGGAGGAAGGAAUCCAGAGGGACCAUCAGAGAUGCAGGAGGUGACGAGGAAUUGGAAUCAGGAAGAGUUGAUCAACCAGGAACUGAAACAAGGUGGAUUGAUACAAUCACACACUACGUUUACACGAGGCCGCUGCCUGCAAACUGCCGGUACUUUCGGAUGCCGAUUGGGAACAAGUUUGGAAGAAAGGAGGCUGAAACGUGGUAAACACCUGGGAGGAAGACCAGCUACGUGUCCAUGCAGACGACAGAGGAGGCUGUGACCAGGCUGAGGACAUUGCUUUC